rnacentral:rRNA from 1 species
AUGGGUGUCGCCACCGACCCCGAAAAGACAAGUGCUAUGGAGAAAUGGCCUGUGCCAACAAAUGUUUCUGAACUGCGAGGUUUUCUGGGACUCACAGGCUACUACAGAAAAUUUGUACCAAGGUAUAGUUGGAUCACUAAAUCUCUUACACAGUUACUUACCAAGAAGGGUUUUUAUUGGAAUGAGCAGGCACAGCAAGCUUUUGACACUCUGAAACAGGCCAUGGUUAACACACCUGUGUUGGCCUUGCCGGAUUUUCAAGUUCCCUUUGUUGUCGAAACGGACGCUUGUGCUACUGGGAUCGGUGCAGUCCUCAUGCAACAAGGGCAUCCGAUAGCAUAUUUGAGCAAAGCUCUUGGUGUCCAAAAUAGCAAGUUAUCUAUCUACGAGAAAGAAUUUCUUGCAGUCAUUAUGGCCAUUGAUCACUGGCGCACCUAUUUGCAGCGAGGGCCUUUUAUUAUUUUCACUGACCAUAAAUCCUUGUGUGCGUUGGGUGAUCAACAGCUGGGUACUGAGUUACAGCGCAAAGCGAUGUCGAAACUAGUGGGCUUACAAUUUGAAUUUCGCUACAAGCGGGGUGUGGAUAAUAGUGCUGCGGAUUCCUUGUCCAGGGUUGGCCAUCUUCUUAACUGUCAAGCCCUUACUUUGUGUCAACCUGAUUGGCUGAUAGAGGUCCUGCAUACUUAUGAUAUGGAUAGUACUGCUCAGAAUCUUCUCCGUCACUUGGCUAUUCUAUCACCCGAUAACAAGGGCUAUGCUUUGGACAAUGGUCUCAUUAAGUACAAGGGUCGAUUGUACAUUGGUGCCAGCUUAGCUUUGCAAACCAAGCUCAUUGAUGCUUUACACAACAGUCCUGUGGGAGGCCAUUCAGGCAUGCAGGCUACUUAUCAACGCUUGCGCAAGUUGUACUACUGGCCAGGAAUGAAGACAGCAGUGGACAAUUUUGUGCGCCAGUGUCAAAUUUGCCAGCAAGCUAAACCUAUACACACCAAACCAGCCGGGUUACUUCAGCCGCUGCCAAUACCCGAACGACUCUGGGAGGAUUUGACCAUGGAUUUUAUAGAGUCUUUACCAAGGUCGGAGGGUUAUGACACUAUUCUGGUAGUGGUGGAUCGCUUUACCAAAUAUGCCCAUUUUAUACCUCUUCGACAUCCAUUCACUGCCAGUUCUGUGGCCAAAGUUUUCUUGGAUUCCAUCAUUAAAUUACAUGGUGUUCCACGUUCCAUUGUGACCAAUCGUGACAAGAUAUUUACAAGUGCCAUGUGGCGUGAUAUAUUCACAGCUUUGGGCUCCAAAUUGUCCUACAGCACUGCUUACCAUCCUCAUACGGAUGGACAAAGUGAGCGUGUUAAUCAAUGUGUUGAGCAAUAUCUUCGUUGUGCUGUGUAUGACAAACCUGGCAAAUGGCGUUCAUGGCUUCCCAUGGCAGAAUUUUGGUAUAAUUCAAGUUAUCAUACCUCUGCUGGUUGUUCCCCAUUUCAAGCUUUGUAUGGCAGAGUGCCUAACUUUGGUGCAAUGCCAAAUGUCACCAUGGCGGAUGACUCUCAGGCCAAGGAUUUCCCUAUACCAGAUAGUGUCCAUUUGGAGCAGCUUCGCGGUCAUCUCACUUAA